CCUACGGGUGGCAGCAGUGAGGAAUAUUGGUCAAUGGACGCAAGUCUGAACCAGCCAUGCCGCGUGCAGGAUGACGGCUCUAUGAGUUGUAAACUGCUUUUGUACGGGGGUAAACCCCGAUACGUAUAUCGGGUUGAAAGUAUCGUACGCAUAAGGAUCGGCUAACUCCGUGCCAGCAGCCGCGGUAAUACGGAGGAUGCGAGCGUUAUCAGGAUUUAUUGGGUUUAACGGGUGAGUAGGGGGAAUGCCAAGUCAGCGGUAAAAUCGCGGGGCUCAACCUCGCUCCACCGUUGAAACUGGCGUUCUUGAGUGGGCGAGAAGUAUGCGGAAUGCGUGGUGUAGCGGUGAAAUGCAUAGAUAUCACGCAGAACUCCGAUUGCGAAGGCAGCAUACCGGCGCCCAACUGACGCUGAAGCACGAAAGCGUGGGUAUCGAACAGGAUUAGAUACCCUUGUAGUC
rnacentral:rRNA from 1 species